GCUGAUUGUUUCCCUAGGUCUUAUAGAAUAUCUGGGUUCUAAGAAAUUCAGGGGAGAGUUUUAAGUGUUGAAAAACUGAAUAAAAGGACUAGUCAGAUAAGUGCAGAAAACUAGAAAUUUGGGUUCAUGGAGAUGAAAUGAAACUUAGUGUCUGGAACAAAUCUUUGUGUGGGGGUGGUGGUGAGGGGAUUAAGAAAUUUGCCUACUCUUGUUUGUGAGCUGGUAAUGGGGUGUCUGCUGAAUAGCAUCACCCAUUUCCCAGACAUCUUUCUCAAGAGAGCUUGGCUUGGGGUUUUUCCUAGUUGUCUCAGGUAUAAAUCCAGGUAUAUUUUGAGUUUUUAUUUUGGAGGUUGGGGAAAAGAUCCCAUGAAUGCACUUUAGAACAGUUACUUUCCAUUAAAAUCAAGUGUUGGAGUGACCACAGUGCUAGUGGGAGGCCACUCUCCUUCCACACAUUUCACCAUUUAUUUCAAUUCUAUGUCUUGGUUGUUAAGGCAUGUACACAUGGCAUGGAGAACUGGGCCUUGGUCAGAGCUAGGGAAGUAGUAAAGACUAGGUGAAUACAUAUAGAGAGAUGUUAUAGGAGAGAGAACAUCAGGAUUAAUGGUACUUGUGACCUUAUGGGACCUUGGAUAGCCACUUUCCAAUUUUCUGAAUGGGUAGAAUGCUACAUUCAACUAUAAAAGAACACCUGCUCUCUCUAAUGCUUGACACUGAUAAAUAUUAGUCUUGGUGUGCCAGAGCAUGACUGGCUGAUACUAUGAAUUGCCUAAAAUUCCUCCUUGUACUGGUCAGCUGUUGGUGGGUAGCUCCCUCAUAAAGAUAACAAGCUACAAGUUCUAUGGAGUGAACUCUUCUGAAUGCAGUUUCAGAGUGGUAGGGCAGGUCUGUUAUCUGCUCAAUGGGCAGCAUCAGUAGACCUGGUCUAGGACCUAUUCAAAGCAUUCUCUCUGACCCUGAUGGGUAGAUGACAGAUGAAUUGGAAAAUGAGGAGUCUUGGAAUAAUACCUUCCAGAAUAAUAAUAUAAAUUAGGAUCUGGGGUUUGCCCAUUCUAUAUUCUUAUGACAACCUGG
rnacentral:lncRNA from 1 species